AGAUAAGUUUUUCGAUAAAUUACACGAUUUUUUUUUUUUUUUGAAAAAACAGGAGAAUUUCCUUUAAACAAUGAACUACGAUAGAAUUUUUAUAAGAAAAAAGGGAAAUUUGCUUUCAGCAAAAACAAGUUUUAGCUUUGGUAGCCUUGAGGAUAUCUGUCUCUCUCACGCAGCUCACAGUCGAACUAAACGUGGCGUCACGAGAGGGGGACCCAUUACCAUGACGACUGUUCGUCGCCCCACGAUGAUUGGACGCUUUCAACGAAGAUCGUGCCACCACACCAGUUACCAAAGACUACGCAUGCGCUAAGUACCCCACGCAAUCUACGCCUGGCGGGAGGUUGAUACAGUUAGUGUCCCUGUAUCUUGUGUGCGUGUUUGUGAGGGUGGGCGCUUAGCACUGCUACCCAUCAUGCACCGCUACAAAGGGAUGUCCCCCGGGGGCCUGCGGAGGUGGUAGUCCCGUCCCAAUCCCAACGCCCCCCACAGUGCUUGGUGUAAUUGGAUAAAAGGAAAUGACCGAAAGGUGUUGUGUUUUAUUGAGGGAUUUGAACUGAUGAUUAUCUACUGGAGAGGUGUUAUUGAGGAAGGAGGAUUCAGGCCAGUAUACCUGUGCUUCUAUAUAAUUAUAUGUUUUUUCUUCUUGUUGUUUCUCAUUUUAUAGGUAGUAUACCAAGGCUACUUAAUAUUGAAAAUAGGGAGAUCGUCUGAAAUGUUA
rnacentral:lncRNA from 1 species